rnacentral:rRNA from 1 species
GUAGGGAAUAUUGGACAAUGGGGGGAACCCUGAUCCAGCCAUGCCGCGUGGAGGAAGACUGCCCUCUGGGUUGUAAACUCCUUUUAUAUGGGAAGAACCGUCCUCAUUAAUGAGUGACCUGACGGUACCAUAGGAAUAAGCACCGGCUAACUCCGUGCCAGCAGCCGCGGUAAUACGGAGGGUGCAAGCGUUAUCCGGAUUCACUGGGUUUAAAGGGUGCGUAGGCGGAUAAAUAAGUCAGUGGUGAAAUCAACGGGCUCAACCUGUUAACUGCCAUUGAUACUGUGUAUCUUGAAUAUGAGAGAGGUAGGCGGAAUGUUGCAUGUAGCGGUGAAAUGCUUAGAUAUGCUACGGAACACCGAUUGCGAAGGCAGCUUACUAUUUCGUAAUUGACGCUGAGGCACGAAAGCGUGGGUAGCGAACAGGAUUAGAAACCCGGGUAGUCC